rnacentral:rRNA from 1 species
GUGGGGAAUAUUGGACAAUGGGGGCAACCCUGAUCCAGCCAUGCCGCGUGUGUGAAGAAGGCCUUCGGGUUGUAAAGCACUUUCAGCAGUGAGGAAAGGCGAGUGGUUANUACCCGCUUGCUGUGACGUUAACUGCAGAAGAAGCACCGGCUAACUCCGUGCCAGCAGCCGCGGUAAUACGGAGGGUGCAAGCGUUAAUCGGAAUUACUGGGCGUAAAGCGCGCGUAGGUGGUUCAGUCAGUCAGAUGUGAAAGCCCCGGGCUCAACCUGGGAAUUGCACUGAUACUGCUGAGCUAGAGUACGGUAGAGGGUAGUGGAAUUUCCGGUGUAGCGGUGAAAUGCGUAGAGAUCGGAAGGAACACCAGUGGCGAAGGCGACUACCUGGACCGAUACUGACAUUGAGGUGCGAAAGCGUGGGUANCAAACAGGAUUAGAUACCCUGGUAGUCCACGCCGUAAACGAUGUCAACUAGCCGUUGGGGGACUUGAUCCUUUAGUG